CNNGUNGUGNCAUNCCUNCGACGANUAUGGAGNNACUUUUCCUUUUGGGACANNGGAGCAGGUGGUGCAUGGUUGUNGUCAGCUCGUGUCGUGAGAUGUUGGGUUAAGUCCCGCAACGAGCGCAACCCUUGUUUUUAGUUGCCAUCAUUAAGUUGGGCACUUUAAGGGGACUGCCGGUGACAAACCGGAGGAAGGUGGGGAUGACGUCAAAUCAUCAUGCCCCUUAUGUCCUGGGCUACACACGUGCUACAAUGGUCGGUACAGAGGGAAGCGAAGUCGNGAGAGGGAGCCAAUCCCAGAAAGCCGUUCUCAGUUCGGAUUGCAGGCUGCAACUCGCCUGCAUGANNUNGGAAUCGCUAGUAAUC
rnacentral:rRNA from 1 species